AUGGAUUUCCAUCCGCACCAAAACUACACGUUCUUGGUUUCGUCGUUAAAACCGCUAACCGCCCAAAGUAAGCUGCUCAUCGAGUACAGGACCACGCAAGUGCUGCUCACCUACAACAUUCCCACGGUGCAACUCUCUUUCAAACCAAUGACAUCUCCAUUCACGCAAAGCGAAGCUUCGAAGGAGACGUUUCACAAGUGCCAGGCUUGGAACCCUACAGGAAUCUCAACUCACGUGCCGAUGUCAUUAAAGGAUUGCUAAACGUCA